rnacentral:rRNA from 1 species
GGGACACGUGGUAUCCUGUCUGAAUAUGGGGGGACCAUCCUCCAAGGCUAAAUACUCCUGACUGACCGAUAGUGAACCAGUACCGUGAGGGAAAGGCGAAAAGAACCCCGGCGAGGGGAGUGAAAAAGAACCUGAAACCGUGUACGUACAAGCAGUGGGAGCACCUUCGGGUGUGACUGCGUACCUUUUGUAUAAUGGGUCAGCGACUUAUAUUCUGUAGCAAGGUUAACCGUAUAGGGGAGCCGCAGGGAAACCGAGUCUUAACUGGGCGUUAAGUUGCAGGGUAUAGACCCGAAACCCGGUGAUCUAGCCAUGGGCAGGUUGAAGGUUGGGUAACACUAACUGGAGGACCGAACCGACUAAUGUUGAAAAAUUAGCGGAUGACUUGUGGCUGGGGGUGAAAGGCCAAUCAAACCGGGAGAUAGCUGGUUCUCCCCGAAAGCUAUUUAGGUAGCGCCUCGUGAAUUCAUCUUCGGGGGUAGAGCACUGUUUCGGCUAGGGGGUCAUCCCGACUUACCAACCCGAUGCAAACUACGAAUACCGAAGAAUGUUAUCACGGGAGACACACGGCGGGUGCUAACGUCCGUCGUGAAGAGGGAAACAACCCAGACCGCCAGCUAAGGUCCCAAAGUCAUGGUUAAGUGGGAAACGAUGUGGGAAGGCACAGACAGCCAGGAUGUUGGCUUAGAAGCAGCCAUCAUUUAAAGAAAGCGUAAUAGCUCACUGGUCGAGUCGGCCUGCGCGGAAGAUGUAACGGGGCUAAACCAUGCACCGAAGCUGCGGCAGCGACACUAUGUGUUGUUGGGUAGGGGAGCGUUCUGUAAGCCUGCGAAGGUGUGCUGUGAGGCAUGCUGGAGGUAUCAGAAGUGCGAAUGCUGACAUAAGUAACGAUAAAGCGGGUGAAAAGCCCGCUCGCCGGAAGACCAAGGGUUCCUGUCCAACGUUAAUCGGGGCAGGGUGAGUCGACCCCUAAGGCGAGGCCGAAAGGCGUAGUCGAUGGGAAACAGGUUAAUAUUCCUGUACUUGGUGUUACUGCGAAGGGGGGACGGAGAAGGCUAUGUUAGCCGGGCGACGGUUGUCCCGGUUUAAGCAUGUAGGCUGGUUGUCCAGGCAAAUCCGGAUAAUCAAGGCUGAGGUGUGAUGACGAGGCACUACGGUGCUGAAGUAACAAAUGCCCUGCUUCCAGGAAAAGCCUCUAAGCAUCAGGUAACAUCAAAUCGUACCCCAAACCGACACAG